rnacentral:ncRNA from 1 species
UUUCCUCUGAAGUUCCCCUCAAGAUAGCUGGAGUGCGCAAUGAAGCUGUUAUAUUCGGUAAAGCGAAUGGUAAAAAGAACUGUAGGACAAACAUUUUCAAUCUCUUCUCAAAUUUCCAAUGAGUAUGGCGUCUCGCUUGCUUGAAUGAAGCAUAGACAUUGAGUGUGUGCUUCACGUACGCCAUUUUGAUUACCGAAAAUACUUCACGUACGCCAUUUUCGGUAAACAAAACUGGCACUAUGGAUGAACGGAAUGUUGAGUUAAAAGAAUAAGUCAGUUAAAAUUUCUAUUGAAAAAAUUUGCAUUAUGCGGUAAACAGCUUUAUUAAUGGAGAGAGAAAGGAAAUUAAAAAAAAAAAAAAAAAAA